rnacentral:rRNA from 1 species
AGUGAACGCUGGCGGCAGGCCUAACACAUGCAAGUCGAACGGCAGCACAGUAAGAGUUUGCUCUUACGGGUGGCGAGUGGCGGACGUGUGAGGAAUAUAUCGGACUCUACUCUUUCGUGGGGGAUCACGUAGGGAAACUUACGCUAAUACCGCAUACGACCCACGGGUGAAAGCAUGGGAUCUUUGCACCUUGCGCGAUUGAAUGAGCCGAUGUCGGACUAGCUAGUUGGCGGGGUACAGGCCCACCAAGGCGACGAUCCGUAGCUGGUCUGAGAGGAUGAUCAGCGGCACUGGAACUGGGACGCGGUCCAGGCUCCUAAGGGAGGGAGCAGUGGGGAAUAUUGGACAAUAGGGGCAAGCCUUGUCCAGCGAUACCGCGUGGGUGAAGGAGGCGUUCGGGUUGUAAAGACCUUUUGUUGGGAAAGAAAAGCAGCAGCUUAAUACCCCGCUGUUCUGACGGUACCCAAAGAAUAAGCACCGGCUAACUACGUG